GCUCAUGGCUCAGGAUGGACGCUAGCUACAGGCUUAACACAUGCAAGUCGAGGGGCAGCAUGGUCUUAGCUUGCUAAGGCCGAUGGCGACCGGCGCACGGGUGAGUAACACGUAUCCAACCUGCCGUCUACUCUUGGACAGCCUUCUGAAAGGAAGAUUAAUACAAGAUGGCGUCAUGAGUCCACAUGUUCACAUGAUUAAAGGUAUUCCGGUAGACGAUGGGG
rnacentral:rRNA from 1 species